rfam:Puccinia sorghi strain RO10H11247 Scaffold_847, whole genome shotgun sequence.
CACCAGUUGGCCCAAUGGUCAAGGCGCCUGCCUACGAUUCUCCUGGGGAAUACCCAGUAUGGCUAGCCCGGAAAAUGGUACCCCCAAGAGUGUAAGCAGGAGAUUCUAGGUUCGAAUCCUGGGAUGGUCG